AGGUGGCAAGCGUUAUCCGGAAUUAUUGGGCGUAAAGGGAGCGUAGGCGGUUUAUUAAGUUUAUGGUUAAAGUUCGGGGCUCAACCCCGUGAUGCCAUAGAAACUGGUAGACUUGAGUACAGGAGAGGUUAGUGGAAUUCCAUGUGUAGCGGUAAAAUGCGUAGAUAUAUGGAGGAACACCAGUGGCGAAGGCGGCUAACUGGCCUGUAACUGACGCUGAGGCUCGAAAGCGUGGGGAGCAA
rnacentral:rRNA from 1 species